rnacentral:rRNA from 1 species
GGGACACGUGGUAUCCUGUCUGAAUAUGGGGGGACCAUCCUCCAAGGCUAAAUACUCCUGACUGACCGAUAGUGAACCAGUACCGUGAGGGAAAGGCGAAAAGAACCCCGGCGAGGGGAGUGAAAAAGAACCUGAAACCGUGUACGUACAAGCAGUGGGAGCACAGGUUUACCUGUGUGACUGCGUACCUUUUGUAUAAUGGGUCAGCGACUUAUAUUCUGUAGCAAGGUUAACCGUAUAGGGGAGCCGUAGGGAAACCGAGUCUUAACCGGGCGUUAAGUUGCAGGGUAUAGACCCGAAACCCGGUGAUCUAGCCAUGGGCAGGUUGAAGGUUGGGUAACACUAACUGGAGGACCGAACCGACUAAUGUUGAAAAAUUAGCGGAUGACCUGUGGCUGGGGGUGAAAGGCCAAUCAAACCGGGAGAUAGCUGGUUCUCCCCGAAAGCUAUUUAGGUAGCGCCUCGUGAAUUCAUCUCCGGGGGUAGAGCACUGUUUCGGCUAGGGGGCCAUCCCGGCUUACCAACCCGAUGCAAACUGCGAAUACCGGAGAAUGUUAUCACGGGAGACACACGGCGGGUGCUAACGUCCGUCGUGAAGAGGGAAACAACCCAGACCGCCAGCUAAGGUCCCAAAGUCAUGGUUAAGUGGGAAACGAUGUGGGAAGGCCCAGACAGCCAGGAUGUUGGCUUAGAAGCAGCCAUCAUUUAAAGAAAGCGUAAUAGCUCACUGGUCGAGUCGGCCUGCGCGGAAGAUGUAACGGGGCUAAACCAUGCACCGAAGCUGCGGCAGCGACGCUUAUGCGUUGUUGGGUAGGGGAGCGUUCUGUAAGCCUGUGAAGGUGUGUCGUGAGGCAUGCUGGAGGUAUCAGAAGUGCGAAUGCUGACAUAAGUAACGAUAAAGCGGGUGAAAAGCCCGCUCGCCGGAAGACCAAGGGUUCCUGUCCAACGUUAAUCGGGGCAGGGUGAGUCGACCCCUAAGGCGAGGCCGAAAGGCGUAGUCGAUGGGAAACAGGUUAAUAUUCCUGUACUUGGUGUUACUGCGAAGGGGGGACGGAGAAGGCUAUGUUGGCCGG